UGAAAAACAAAAAUAAACAAACAAACAAACAAAAAAGCAGGCUCAGGUUUUCAGACAUUCUGGAAAGGUUUUUUCCCAAAGCAUCUAAUAAUGCCCCCUCCUCCACACACUCUGACAGACAGAAGACAGUAAUUUUGUUGUUAUUGGUGGUGGUGUUUUAAUUUAGCUUUUUGUAUGUGGUUGUUUUGCCUGCAUGCUUGUGUGUGUACCAGGAAGUGCCUCUGGAAGCCAGAGGAGGGCACCAGGUACCCUAGAACUGGCGUCACCGAUGGGUAAGAACUCAUUUGGGCACUGGGGAUUGAACCCAGAUUCUCUGGACGAGGAGCCAGUGCUCUUAAACACUGAACUAUUUCUCUAGACUCAAGAGAAUAAUAUAAACCACAGAAUAAGACUAAUGAACUUUAUCCAGGUCUUGGAGGAGGGUUUUUAAAGUUUGUUUUUGCUAUUUUUUAUAUGUAAGAAUGGACCCCAUAUGCAUGUUUGAAUGCCUAUCAUCAGGGAGUAGAACUCUCUGAUAGGAUGAGAAGGAUGAGGGGAUGUGGCCUUGCUAGAGGAUGGGCUGGAGGUUUGGAAAGCAUACGUCCACUGACCCAGUGGUUUUCUUUCUCCUGGCCUGUGGACCAGGAUGUAGCUCUCACCUACUUACUGUUCCAGCACUGUGUGUGCCAGCGUGCUCCCCACGGUGGUGCUUUGAGAAGAGGUGAGAUGUAGCUUGGGGGGGGGUGUCUCCCUGUAGGGAGGAAGUUUUGGGGUGGGAGAUUACUUUCUGACCCCUUAUGGCCGGCUUGGAUCUUCCAAGAGGAAAAAAAAAAAAAGUCUGCUGUUCAUAUGGAGCCUUGAUACAAUUGUCCCAUUUUACAUAUGAACCUACUGAGAAAUAAGUGACUUUCUCACAUAACUUGGUGAUUUUCAGACUUAUAGCUUGUUUGCCAUUGGUCCUUCCUUAAAUAGGGAUGAGGAUGGGGGAGGGCAGGUGGAUUCCUUCAGUUGGGCAAAUUGAUCUUUGAGAAAGCCAGGCUAUCUAUCACCUUUAGACUCUUUAGAAACCUCGAGGGAGCUGAUUGCUCUGGGUGCCUCUUACGGAGGGAAUGCUGGCCUCUGUCCACUUUGUCACAGUUUCCAAGUGCAUUUAGAGCGUGGCUCUCAUUCCUGAGUGCUGAACUCAGACAUCCCACUGACAGCUUGUCAUCGUUGCUGGGGUGUCUAAUAGUCACCUCAACCUCAAUACGCCAAAGCUGAGCUCUCCGCCUUCCCCUGUGCUUCCUUCCCUGCCCACGGUCUUCUAGGUGUAGUUAAUAGCAUUCACGUGUUUCGCUUUCGUGGAGCCUGAGCAGCCCAGGAUUUCUAGAAGGCUGGUGCAGCCCACACCCCUGAGGUGCACAAGUUUAUCUGGAGGUUCUCCAUCCUGAAACUUCCAGACUUGGCAAGCAGUUCUUUGGGCAGAUAAAGUUGGAAUGAUUUUUGCACACCUGUUCCCAGAAGUGCAGAGCUGUUUCUUUCGCGGGCCACUGCUGGUUGCUGUGUCUCCAACCCCACCGUCUUUCAUAACAACUGAAGGGCACCAGGCAAGAAUGAAGUGUUGAGCCUCAUCAUAGCUCUGGCAGUAAGAACAUGCCACCCGGCUCUGGGUUUGCAGUGUUCCCACAGAGGUCUAGCCACGAGAAAGAGGAAAAAGCUUCUACAAUAGUCAGCAUGUGCCCAGAGCAACGGUUGGCAAAAUUACAGUUAUGAAAUAGCAGCAGAAAUAAUUUUAUGGUUGGGGGUCACCACAAUAUGAGGGACUGUGUUAAAGGGUUGCAGCAAUUGGAAGGUUGAGAACCAGUGAUCUAGAGAAAGGAAGGAUGCUGAGUGGAAGCCCUUUGCCUUCCUUCCAGCAAUGCUGUGGCACAGGUUUACUCAAGACAAACAAACCAAACCAACCAAACAAACUGAUUGUGAGGUUGGCUGGCAAAGGGGGCAGGGGCACAGAAGAACUCAAAUCUUCUCCCCUAGUAAGUAUGAGGGUGGAAUGUCCCUCAGGCCCUGGCGUGGGGAGCGCUGCUCACAGAGUGGUUAAGCAGAAAGUAGUUAGUUUUAGAACCAAUCCGUUGUGCAGUUGUAAGGUGCUCCCCCCCCACACACACACCCGCCACGCUUCUUUGCAGGUUGCAUGCAUCUUUUUGGAGAAAACUAUGUUCUGCCUAGGGCUUUGGAGCUUGUCACGUCAAAGUCAUUGGUUAAGUAAAUUGGCUGUGCCAUUGUGUGAUGGUUCCUUAGGAGCCAGUUUCAUGAUGCUAGAGUAGAUUCUGGAAGCUUUUCCUGAAAAGCAACAUAAGCUCUCGGUAUGGGAGGAACUCAUGCGCAGGCCUUUGCUGAGAAAAGGUAGUAAGUAGGUGAGGGUAGGAGUCGCACAGGCAGGCAGAUUCUGAGCUUCAACUGUGGGCCCUUAGCCCAUCUGCAGCGCAGGAGGGUGCCACUCUGAUAGCCUGUGGCACUUAGUGGGUACAAAUCCCAAAGCUCAGAGCAGAAGUUCAAUUUGUCCGGAUCACCUGGCCUUGGCCCUGCUGCAGGGCCACCUGGUCUCUCCUUGUGGACCAGAUUGGCAAAGGACAGAGAUCUGGAGAAGAGGAAAUCUCAGCACACAUGCGCAGCACAGCUUCCUAGACUUUGCUCUGCCCCCUUUGCUUCAGGCUUACGGACUAGGUAACAAACGAACAGACAGCUUUCACUCUGGAAAACACAUCAAGAGAAGUCGGCUCUUAGGAUGCUUGCUGUGCCCCUCAUUGCUUGCAAACCUUCUCAGUCCAAAGCUGGACCAACUGUAAACCAGGAACAACCAUAAGGAAUGCUCCUUGGGUGUGCCAUUAAUCUGCAUCUCGUCUAGACUUCCUAAUUCCCCUGAGAGGAGAGGGGAUCUUAUCAGCAUCUUCUUUCUGACAAGCAAUAAGUUCACACUUAUCUAGGCUGAUGGCUCUGCAGCUCCCUUCAGUGAGCUGGUGAUUUCAGAUGUCGUGAGAGGGAGUUCUCUGUGGAAGGAUCACAUUCGAAGUCCCAAAUUAAAACUAGUUUGGUCUGAUUGUCUUUGAUUUUUAUCCGGUGCAUAAAAUGGCUAGUUUCAGAUGCAAAAACAUAAAAUAAAUGGUCGUGCAGCUCUGAAGUCCCUUCUCCUUGGAGACACAUCCCGUCAAGCUCUUUGCUGCUGCCGCCUGACGAUUUCCAUCUGCCACAGUGCUGAUCUCUCUUUAUUCUUUUCUAUUUUCUGUCCUUCUGCUGCGCUUCCCCCAACUCUUACCAAAAAAAGAAAAGCAUAGUGACUCUCCCUGUGUCUGUCUCCU